CGGGGUGAGUAAUGUCUGGGAAACUGCCUGAUGGAGGGGGAUAACUACUGGAAACGGUAGCUAAUACCGCAUAAUGUCUGCGGACCAAAGAGGGGGACCUUCGGGCCUCUUGCCAUCGGAUGUGCCCAGAUGGGAUUAGCUAGUAGGUGGGGUAACGGCUCACCUAGGCGACGAUCCCUAGCUGGUCUGAGAGGAUGACCAGCCACACUGGAACUGAGACACGGUCCAG
rnacentral:rRNA from 1 species